rnacentral:rRNA from 1 species
UACGGGGGGGGCAAGCGUUGUUCGGAAUUACUGGGCGUAAAGGGCGCGUAGGCGGCCUGCUAAGUCACACGUGAAAUCCCUCGGCUCAACCGGGGAACUGCGUGUGAUACUGGCGGGCUCGAAUUCGGGAGAGGGAUGUGGAAUUCCAGGUGUAGCGGUGAAAUUCGUAGAUAUUAGGAAGAACACCAGUGGCGAAGGCGGCUCACUGGACCGGAACUGACGCUGAGGCGCGAAAGCGUGGGGAGCAAACAGG